rfam:Capsella rubella cultivar Monte Gargano unplaced genomic scaffold scaffold_7, whole genome shotgun sequence.
GUCUGGCUUAGUUAGGAGGCAUAAAUCAAUCUGAUCAUCAAUACUUUCCUGUAUUGUUUUGAUCUACGAGUUCUUUUUGAAGAGGAGCUUUGCUUUUGCUUAAAAAUCAAGCUUCUCCCAAGCAGCCUCGGACAUAU